CCUACGGGAGGCAGCAGUGAGGAAUAUUGGUCAAUGGACGAGAGUCUGAACCAGCCAAGUAGCGUGAAGGAUGACUGCCCUAUGGGUUGUAAACUUCUUUUAUAUGGGAAUAAAACGUUCCACGUGUGGGAUUUUGUAUGUACCAUAUGAAUAAGGAUCGGCUAACUCCGUGCCAGCAGCCGCGGUAAUACUGAGGAUGCGAGCGUUAUCCGGAUUUAUUGGGGUUAAAGGGAGCGUAGGUGGAUUGUUAAGUCAGUUGUGAAAGUUUGCGGCUCAACCGUAAAAUUGCAGUUGAAACUGGCAGUCUUGAGUACAGUAGAGGUGGGCGGAAUUCGUGGUGUAGCGGUGAAAUGCUUAGAUAUCACGAAGAACUCCGAUUGCGAAGGCAGUUCACUGGACUGCAACUGACACUGAGGCUCGAAAGUGUGGGUAUCAAACAGGAUUAGAUACCCCAGUAGUC
rnacentral:rRNA from 1 species